rnacentral:rRNA from 1 species
GGGAGGUAGUGACAAUAAAUAACAAUACGGGGUUCUUUUGGAUUUCGUAAUUGGAAUGAGUACAAUUUAAAUCUCUUAACGAGGAACAAUUGGAGGGCAAGUCUGGUGCCAGCAGCCGCGGUAAUUCCAGCUCCAAUAGCGUAUAUUAAAGUUGUUGCAGUUAAAAAGCUCGUAGUUGAAUUUCGGGGUCAGUAGGUCGGUCAUGCCACAGGUAUGUACUGGUCUCACUGAUUCCUCCUUGCUGAUGAACCGUAAUGCCAUUAAGUUGGUGUUGCGGGGAGACUGGACUGUUACUUUGAAAAAAAUUAGAGUGUUUAAAGCAGGCUAACGCUUGAAUACAUUAGCAUGGAAUAACGGAAUAGGACGUUCGAUCUUAUUUUGUUGGUUUCUAAGAUUGACGUAAUGAUUAAUAGGGAUAGUUGGG